rnacentral:tRNA from 1 species
GGUAAGAUGGCUGAGAGUUAGGCGGCGGAUUGUAGCUCCGCCCACAGAGGCUAAUACCUCUUCUUAUCA